GACGAACGCUGGCGGCAUGCUUAACACAUGCAAGUCGAACGGAAAGGCCCUGCUUUUGUGGGGUGCUCGAGUGGCGAACGGGUGAGUAACACGUGAGUAACCUGCCCUUGACUUUGGGAUAACUUCAGGAAACUGGGGCUAAUACCGGAUAGGAGCUCCUGCUGCAUGGUGGGGGUUGGAAAGUUUCGGCGGUUGGGGAUGGACUCGCGGCUUAUCAGCUUGUUGGUGAGGUAGUGGCUUACCAAGGCUUUGACGGGUAGCCGGCCUGAGAGGGUGACCGGCCACAUUGGGACUGAGAUACGGCCCAGACUCCUACGGGAGGCAGCAGUGGGGAAUAUUGCACAAUGGGCGGAAGCCUGAUGCAGCAACGCCGCGUGCGGGAUGACGGCCUUCGGGUUGUAAACCGCUUUCGCCUGUGACGAAGCGUGAGUGACGGUAAUGGGUAAAGAAGCACCGGCUAACUACGUG
rnacentral:rRNA from 1 species